UACGUAGGGGGCAAGCGUUGUCCGGAUUCAUUGGGCGUAAAGAGCGUGUAGGCGGCCAGGUAGGUCGGUUGUGAAAACUGGAGGCUCAACCUUCAGACGUCGACCGAAACCAUCUGGCUAGAGUCCGGGAGAGGAGAGUGGAAUUCCUGGUGUAGCGGUGAAAUGCGCAGAUAUCAGGAAGAACACCCGUGGCGAAGGCGGGUCUCUGGGCAGUAACUGACGCUGAGAAGCGAAAGCGUGGGGAGCGAACAGG
rnacentral:rRNA from 1 species